CUUGUUACCGGAUGUGUGUCUCACUUGAAUGGGCCGGCUAGCAAGCUAGGCUAUUUGUCGCCGGUUGCCGCCAAGGUGCGUUGCUACGUCAAAGGCGCAUUUUCACGGUUUCUUCUACAUUAAUUUCAUUUUUUUGUACAAUACUCACGGCGGGACCGAUUAAAACAUGUCCAGGAGACGACACAGUGACUCCUAUGACGGAGGCCAGGAUCACAAGAGGAGGAGAACCUCUGAGCCCACCGAGAUUGAAGACAGCCUGGAGUCUCUGAUAUGCAACGUGGGAGAAAAGAGCAAGUCGUCCUUGGAGAGCAACCUGGAGGGGCUCGCCGGCGUGUUGGAGGCCGACCUUCCCAACUACAAGAACAAAAUCCUUCGCAUUUUAUGUGCCGUGGCUCGCCUCCUCCCCGAGAAGCUGACGGUGUACACCACGCUGGUGGGCCUCCUCAACGCCAGGAACUACAACUUUGGCGGCGAGUUUGUGGAAGCCAUGAUCCGGCAGCUAAAGGAGACGCUGAAGAACAACCUUUACAGCGAGGCCGUUUACUUGGUGCGCUUUCUGUCCGACUUGGUCAACUGCCACGUGAUUGCCGCGCCAUCCAUGGUGGCCAUGUUUGAGAACUUUGUCAGCGUUACGCAGGAGGAAGAUGUACCGCAGGUUCGGUCUGAUUGGUUUGUGUUCGUGGUGCUGUCCUGCCUGCCGUGGGUGGGCAAGGAGCUCUACGAAAAGAAGGAUGUGGAGAUGGACCGACUCCUCAGCCAGAUUGAAGGCUACCUCAAGAGGCGAGUGAAGACUCAUCUCCCGAUGCUUCAGGUGUGGACCGCUGAGAAACCCCACCCACAAGAAGAGUACCUAGACUGCCUUUGGGCGCAGAUCCAGAAGCUGAAGAAAGACCGCUGGCUGGAGCGCCACAUCCUGCGGCCGUACAUCGCCUUCGACAGUGUGCUGUGCGAGGCCCUGCAGCACAACUUGCCCCCCUUCACGCCGCCGGGGCACAUGCCCGACGCCCAGUACCCCAUGCCUCGCGUCAUCUUCCGCAUGUUCGACUACACCGAUGCCCCCGAGGGUCCGGUCAUGCCCGGCAGUCAUUCUGUGGAGAGGUUUGUCAUCGAAGAGAACCUGCACUGCAUCAUGAAGACUCAUUGGAAAGAGCGCAGAACCUGCGCCGCCCAGUUGCUCAACUACCCCGGCAAAAAUAAGAUCCCGCUCAACUAUCACAUUGUGGAGGUGAUUUUUGGAGAACUUUUCCAGCUGCCCUCACCGCCUCACCUCAACGUCAUGUACACGUCACUGCUGAUCGAGCUGUGCAAACUGCAGCCCGGUUCGCUACCGCAAGUCUUGGCCCAAGCCACAGAGAUGCUCUACAUGCGCCUAGACACCAUGAACACUACCUGCAUUGACAGACUCAUCAACUGGUUCUCCCACCACCUGAGCAACUUCCAGUUCCGAUGGAGCUGGGACGACUGGGCUGACUGUUUGACGUUGGAUCUCGAGAAACCCAAACCCAAAUUUGUCAAAGAGGUUCUGGAGAAGUGUAUGAGGUUGUCCUACCACCAAAGGAUGGUGGAAAUUGUCCCGCCCACCUUCGCCGCCCUCAUCCCGGCCGAGCCCGUCUUCAUUUACAAAUACGCCGACGAAAGCGCUUCGAUGUUGCCGGGUUACCCCUUGUCCAUCACCGUCAGCAACGCCAUUAAGAACCGAGCGUCCAACGAGGAGAUCCUCACCAUCCUCAAAGACGUGCCCAACCCCAACCAGGAUGACGAUGACGACGAAGGCGAGAGCUUCAACCCGUUGAAGCUGGAUGUCUUCUUGCAGACGCUUCUUCACCUGGCUGCGAAAUCCUUCAGCCACUCGUUCAGCGCCCUCGGCAAGUUUCACGAGAUCCUGAAGAACCUGACCGAGAGCGAUGAGGGCAAACUGCACAUUCUCAAGGUGAUCUACGAGGUGUGGAAGAACCACCCGCAGAUGAUCGCCGUGCUGGUGGACAAGAUGAUCCGCACGCAGAUUGUGGACUGCGCCGCCGUGGCCAACUGGCUCUUUUCUCAGGACAUGGCUCACGAGUUCACGAGACUUUACGUAUGGGAGAUCCUGCACUCGACCAUCCGCAAGAUGAACAAACACGUCCAAAAGAUCCAGAAGGAGUUGGAGGAGGCAAAGGACAAGUUGGAGAAGCAGCAAAAUAAGAGGCCACCGUUACUCGCCUCCGUUACUACUCGUAACCAAUUAGCGGGUGGAUUUCAACUCAGUACGUCUUGUCUGUUGGUGUCGGGCAGCCGAGAGACAGCGGCGACGAAGAGGACAUGGAGAAGAACAGUGAGGACGAGGAGGGUCAGCUGGAGGAACAGAUCGAGAGGCUGCAGGAGAAGGUGGAGGCGGCCCAGAGCGAGCAGAAGAAUCUCUUCCUUGUCAUCUUCCAGCGCUUCAUCAUGCUGUUAACGGAGCAUCUGGUGCGCUGCGAGACGGGCAGCGUCAAUGUAAGCACGCCGUGGUACAAGAACUGCGUGGAGAGGCUGCAGCAGAUCUUCCUCAUGCACCACGUGACCAUCCAGCAGUACAUGGGCACGCUGGAGAACCUGCUGUUCACGGCUGAGCUGGACCACCACAUCCUGGCCGUCUACCAGCAGUUUUGUGCCCUUCAGCUCUGAAAAUCCUCAGCGGAACGUUCCGGCUCUUGCAUCAAGAAUCCCCCCCAGCCAUUAAAAAAAAAUAAUAAUUUUAUUUACGACGCCGUUUUUUUUUUUUACAGGUUCCCUUUGAUGGACUCCAAGUCCAGAGAGAACCUUUUGAUUUUUUUUUAAUAUUUGUUUUAUGUGGAAUUGAAAAGGAAUUAAAAACUCUGAAGUCCUUUAAA